rnacentral:rRNA from 1 species
CAGUCGCCGCGGUAAUACGAAGGGUGCAAGCGUUACUCGGAAUUACUGGGCGUAAAGCGUGCGUAGGUGGUGGUUUAAGUCCGUUGUGAAAGCCCUGGGCUCAACCUGGGAAUUGCAGUGGAUACUGGGUCACUAGAGUGUGGUAGAGGAUAGUGGAAUUUCCGGUGUAGCAGUGAAAUGCGUAGAGAUCGGAAGGAACAUCUGUGGCGAAGGCGACUAUCUGGGCCAACACUGACACUGAGGCACGAAAGCGUGGUGAGCAAACAGGAUUAGAUACCCGCGUAGUCCCUGUCUCUUAUAC